rnacentral:rRNA from 1 species
GACGAACGCUGGCGGCGUGCUUAACACAUGCAAGUCGAACGGUAAGGCCCUUCGGGGUACACGAGUGGCGAACGGGUGAGUAACACGUGGGUGAUCUGCCCUGCACCUCGGGAUAAGCCUGGGAAACUGGGUCUAAUACCGGAUAGGACCCUGGGAUGCAUGUCCUGGGGUGGAAAGCUUUUGCGGUGUGGGAUGGGCCCGCGGCCUAUCAGCUUGUUGGUGGGGUGAUGGCCUACCAAGGCGACGACGGGUAGCCGGCCUGAGAGGGUGACCGGCCACACUGGGACUGAGAUACGGCCCAGACUCCUACGGGAGGCAGCAGUGGGGAAUAUUGCACAAUGGGCGCAAGCCUGAUGCAGCGACGCCGCGUGAGGGAUGACGGCCCUCGGGUUGUAAACCUCUUUCAGCACCGACGAAGCGCAAGUGACGGUAGGUGCAGAAGAAGGACCGGCCAACUACGUGCCAGCAGCCGCCGUAA